CAACCUAGCUUAUUGCUGCCGACUCGAGCUUCUUCCACACCAUUAAUGGCGGCUACAAGCUCAUACGUAACUCCUAUCUCAACUCCUUCCAAGACCGUUCCUGUCGUUAAAAGCUCGGUUGCCUCCAAUCUCAAAUUCUUACCUUCGUCUUUCAAGCUUAACUCGAAGUCUCUCCGAGUUAAACGAUAUUUCAGCGGUUUCGGCGCUCUCGGAGCUCAAAUGGUUUCGGUUCCGACCAUAAACCUCCCUGCUUCUCUUGAUUUCAAGACAGAUGUCUUCAAGAAGGAAAAGAUUAACCUUGCUGGACACGAUGAGUACAUCGUCAGAGGAGGGAGGGAUUUGUUCCAUUUGUUGCCAGAUGCUUUUAAGGGCAUUAAGCAGAUCGGUGUCAUCGGAUGGGGAUCGCAGGGACCUGCUCAGGCCCAGAAUCUGCGGGAUUCACUUGCUGAAGCAAAGUCUGAUAUUGUAGUCAAGAUUGGGCUCCGGAAAGGUUCCCGAUCAUUUGCUGAAGCUCGAGCAGCUGGUUUUACUGAGGAGAAUGGGACUCUAGGUGACAUAUGGGAAACUGUCUCUGGCAGCGAUCUUGUGUUGCUGUUGAUUUCUGAUGCCGCCCAGGCGGAUAACUAUGAAAAAGUAUUUUCCCACAUGAAGCCAAACAGCAUACUUGGGCUGUCUCAUGGAUUUCUUCUGGGGCAUUUACAGUCAAUGGGACUUGAUUUUCCAAAGAAUAUCAGUGUUAUUGCUGUCUGUCCUAAGGGAAUGGGUCCAUCAGUUAGGAGACUUUACGUCCAAGGCAAAGAGAUAAAUGGUGCUGGAAUUAAUUCAAGUUUUGCAGUUCACCAGGAUGUUGAUGGCAGAGCUACUGAUGUUGCUUUAGGAUGGUCUGUUGCCCUUGGUUCUCCUUUCACAUUUGCCACCACACUAGAGCAAGAAUACAAGAGUGAUAUCUUUGGAGAGAGGGGAAUUUUAUUGGGUGCUGUUCAUGGGGUUGUGGAGUGCUUGUUCAGGAGAUAUACUGAGCAUGGAAUGAGUGAAGAUCUUGCUUACAAGAACACUGUUGAGUGCAUAACAGGAAUUGUAUCGAAAACCAUCUCAACUAAGGGGAUGUUGACUGUUUACGACUCUUUAACGGAAGAUGGAAAAAGGGAAUUCGAGAAAGCUUACAGUGCCUCAUACUAUCCCUGCAUGGACAUCUUGUAUGAAUGCUAUGAGGAUGUAGCCAGUGGCAGUGAAAUUCGCAGUGUUGUUUUGGCUGGACGCCGGUUUUAUGAGAAAGAGGGUCUACCUGCUUUCCCCAUGGGUAAAAUUGAUCAGACCCGCAUGUGGAAGGUUGGUGAACGUGUACGAUCUACAAGGCCAGAAGGUGAUCUUGGCCCCCUCUAUCCAUUUACUGCUGGUGUUUUUGUGGCAUUAAUGAUGGCCCAGAUUGAGGUCCUGAGGAAGAAAGGCCAUUCCUACUCAGAAAUCAUCAAUGAGAGUGUCAUUGAGGCUGUUGACUCUCUAAAUCCUUUCAUGCAUGCUCGAGGUGUUUCUUUCAUGGUUGAUAAUUGCUCCACCACAGCAAGAUUGGGUUCGAGGAAAUGGGCCCCACGAUUCGAUUACGUCCUCACCCAGCAAGCCUUGGUUGCAGUUGACAAUGCUACACCGGUGAACCAGGACCUAAUCAGCAACUUCCUGUCAGACCCGGUGCAUGGAGCAAUUGAGGUCUGUGCUGAACUCAGACCCACAGUAGACAUUUCCGUGCCACCAAAUGCUGACUUUGUUCGUCCCGAGCUGCGCCAGUCCAGCAAUUAGAACUUCAAGCACCUGCAGCUUUUCCCUGGCCAAACCUUUCGGUGUUAACAAGUGAGGCGCGAGAUAAGAGGGCCGAUCUCUUCAACGUCAAAGUGUCAUUGCAGAAAGGUCUCAACACGGAUGUGUUCCACUUCUCUGAAUGGCUAGUUUGAAAGGCAAUUCAUCAACAAGAAGAAACUGGAAAUGGCCAUAUCUCAGCCAAGAUUAAUUUCUCACUGUCUUGUAACUGACAAAUACACUUGUCAAGAUUAAAGCAUUAUCAAUCCUUUUCUGUCAACUAAACAUUUUAGCGCUCUCUCUAGCCAAUUAGUAAACAUACAGUACAUGCAUGUCUCCAACUUAGAAAAAUCCAUGUACUAUGUUUUCGGAAGAGAUUGUUGGCUAAAGGAAGAUUGCCUUUUAAGGUUCAUGACCGUAGCCUAAAUAUGAUAAAAUUUUACUCUGAGCU